CCUACGGGUGGCAGCAGUGAGGAAUAUUGGUCAAUGGGCGCGAGCCUGAACCAGCCAAGUCGCGUGAGGGAAGACGGUCCUAUGGAUUGUAAACCUCUUUAGCCGGGGAGCAAUGCCGGGCACGCGUGCCCCGAAGGAGAGUACCCGCAGAAUAAGCAUCGGCUAACUCCGUGCCAGCAGCCGCGGUAAUACGGAGGAUGCGAGCGUUAUCCGGAUUUAUUGGGUUUAAAGGGUGCGUAGGCGGAGGUUUAAGUCAGCGGUAAAAUGUCCGGGCUCAACCCGGGCCGGCCGUUGAAACUGGCGAUCUUGAGUGGAAGAGAAGUAUGCGGAAUGCGUGGUGUAGCGGUGAAAUGCAUAGAUAUCACGCAGAACCCCGAUUGCGAAGGCAGCAUACCGGCGUCCGACUGACGCUGAGGCACGAAAGCGUGGGGAUCGAACAGGAUUAGAUACCCUAGUAGUC
rnacentral:rRNA from 1 species